GUCUAGGCCAUGCCACCCUGAACAGGCCCGAUUUUGUCUGAUCUCAGAAGCUAAGCAGGGUAGGGCCUGGUUAGUACUUGGAUGGGGACCACCUAGGAAGACUUGGUGCUGUAGGUG
rnacentral:rRNA from 1 species